rnacentral:rRNA from 1 species
UAGAGUUUGAUCCUGGCUCAGGACGAACGCUGGCGGCGUGCCUAAUACAUGCAAGUCGAGCGGACUUGCUGGAGCUUGCUCCAGCAGGUUAGCGGCGGACGGGUGAGUAACACGUGGGCAACCUGCCUGUAAGACUGGGAUAACUCCGGGAAACCGGAGCUAAUACCGGAUAGUAUCUUGAACCGCAUGGUUCAAGUUGGAAAGACGGUUUCGGCUGUCACUUACAGAUGGGCCCGCGGCGCAUUAGCUAGUUGGUGAGGUAAUGGCUCACCAAGGCAACGAUGCGUAGCCGACCUGAGAGGGUGAUCGGCCACACUGGGACUGAGACACGGCCCAGACUCCUACGGGAGGCAGCAGUAGGGAAUCUUCCGCAAUGGACGAAAGUCUGACGGAGCAACGCCGCGUGAGUGAUGAAGGUUUUCGGAUCGUAAAACUCUGUUGUUAGGGAAGAACAAGUGCGAGAGUAACUGCUCGCACCUAGACGGACCAA